rnacentral:rRNA from 1 species
CGGACGGGUGAGUAACGCGUGGGUAACCUGCCUUACACAGGGGGAUAACACUUAGAAAUAGGUGCUAAUACCGCAUGAGCGCACAGGACCGCAUGGUCGAGUGUGAAAAACUGAGGUGGUGUAAGAUGGACCCGCGUCUGAUUAGCUAGUUGGUGAGGUAACGGCCCACCAAGGCGACGAUCAGUAGCCGGCCUGAGAGGGUGGACGGCCACAUUGGGACUGAGACACGGCCCAGACUCCUACGGAAGGCAGCAG